GGAAAUUAGUUUGUGCUUUGCCAAUGGACGAGCUGUAACCAAAGAAAAUACAGUGGAAUCCCUUUCAUAACAAGUCAGCAAAUAUUAUUCAACUGUAUUAUUCGCCUCUGCUAAAGCACCAUUGAGUGGGAUCAUAGGUUCAUGACCCGGUAAAAAAGUUCUCCACCCUAUAUAUGAACUUACAUACAACGCACGCAUGGAGGACAAGCGACAAGUUCUGUCCAACCCAUUACAUCCAAGCUUGUGCAAACUAGGCAGUAGGCGAUACAGAUCGGGAGAAAGGUUACCGGGGCCAUAAAUUGGAGACCUUGUUUCACUUGGUCCACCAAUGAAGAAAAUCCCUCCUCCUGUUGAUCUUCUUCUGCAGCUGCAAAAUUCCAUAGAGUAACGCCUCGGCUGUGGGCGGGCAUCCAGGCACAUAAAUGUCCACAGGGACAAUACGGUCGCAGCCGCGAACCACAGAGUAUGAGUAAUGGUAAUAGCCACCUCCAUUGGCACAGCUGCCCAUAGAGAUCACCCACCUUGGCUCCGGCAUUUGAUCAUAAACCCUGCAAAUCAAGAAUUUUUGGCAAACCAGUUUCACAUAGCUAUAGAUAAAAGGCAUGAAUGUGAUAAAUCAAUGAUUUGAGAUAUACCUCCUUAAAGCAGGAGCCAUCUUAUUAGUUAGAGUUCCAGCCACAACCAUAACAUCAGAUUGUCUUGGGCUGGGUCUGAAAAUGAGUCCAAACCUAUCCAUAUCAUAUCUAGCAGCUGCAAGAUGCAUCAUCUCAACUGCACAACAUGCUAGCCCAAAAGUCAUGGGCCAGAUGGAACCUCUCCUUGCCCAAUUCACCAGAUCAUCCACCUUUGUUAUGGCAUACUCUGCCACCUUCGACAACCCAGUCGUUGGCGUCGCCGGUUUCCUUGAUCCAGCGUAUGUAACUGGAGAAGUUGACUUGGAUGAUGAUGAGUAAAGGGUUGGAACUGUUGUGUGUAUAAGAGAUGAAUUAUGGACGGAGAGUGGGGCUAAACGUGAAGCGGUUCUUGGUAAAAGAGCCAUGGCUGCAGUUGCACAGAAAGAAAGAUCAAAGUUACAGAAGAGAAAGAUUUAGGAAGAUAGAAUGCAAAGCUUCAAAUAUGCAAUGCCUUAAGAGAGAGGAGUCAUAAUUGGGGGGGUGCGGGUGUUGGGUUGAUAAGGUUUGGAUAUUAAUUAAUUAAUUAAUUUAGGUGAGAAAUGAUUGAUCAUAUCAAAAUAGAUUAUUCCAAUUUUU
rnacentral:misc_RNA from 1 species